rnacentral:rRNA from 1 species
AUUGAACGCUGGCGGCAGGCUUAACACAUGCAAGUCGAGCGAGCGGCGGACGUGUGAGUAAUGUCUGGGAAACUGCCUGAUGGCGGGGGAUAACUACUGGAAACGGUAGCUAAUACCGCAUACCAUCAUAUGUGCUCAGAUGGGUUUAGCUAGUAGGUGGGGUAAUGGCUCACCAAGGCGACGCUCCCUAGCUGGUCUGAGAGGAUGACCGGCCACACUGGAACUGAGACACGGUCCAGACUCCUACGGGAGGCAGCAGUGGGGAAUAUUGCACAAUGGGCGAAAGCCUGAUGCAGCCAUGCCGCGUGUGUGAAGAAGGCCUUCGGGUUGUAAAGCACUGUCAGCGAAGAGGCGUUACUCGCAGAAGAAGCACCGGCUAACUACGUGCCAGCAGCCGCGGUAAUAC